rnacentral:snoRNA from 1 species
ACUUUUGUAGCUCCUAAGUAUGACGACUAGGUGUUCACAUGCAGCUGUGAAAUGCAUUUCCCUCAAACCUUGUUACAACUUGACAUAUUACCUGUCUGAUA